GCAUAUCAAUAAGCGGAGGAAAAGAAACCAACAGGGAUUGCCCUAGUAACGGCGAAGUGAAGCGGCAACAGCUCAAAUUUGAAAUCUGGCCCUCGGGUCCGAAUUGUAAUUUGUAGAGGAUGUUUUUGGUGCGGUAUCUUCCGAGUUCCUUGGAACAGGACGCCUUAGAGGGUGAGAGCCCCGUACGGUUGAAUGCCUAGCCUUUGUAAAACUCCUUCGACGAGUCGAGUAGUUUGGGAAUGCUGCUCUAAAUGGGAGGUAAAUUUCUUCUAAAGCUAAAUACCGGCCAGAGACCGAUAGCGCACAAGUAGAGUGAUCGAAAGAUGAAAAGCACUUUGAAAAGAGGGUUAAAUAGCACGUGAAAUUGUUGAAAGGGAAGGAUUUAUGACCAGACUUUUUCUAGGCGAAUCAUCCGGUGUUCUCACCGGUGCACUUCGUUUAGUUUAGGCCAGCAUCGAUUUUCGGGGUGGGAUAAAAGCUUCAGGAAUGUGGCUCCCUCGGGAGUGUUAUAGCCUGUUGCAUAAUACCGCCCUGGGGAUCGAGGUACGCGCUUCUGCAAGGAUGCUGGCGUAAUGGUUAUCAAUCACCCGUCUUGAAACACGGACCAAGGAGUCGAACAUUUGUGCAAGUGUUUGGGUGUUAAACCCUCACGCGUAAUGAAAGUGAACGGAGGUGAGAGCCCUUACGGGUGCAUCAUCGACCGAUCCUGAUGUCUUCGGAUGGAUUUGAGUAAGAGCAUAACUGUUCGGACCCGAAAGAUGGUGAACUAUGCGUGGAUAGGGUGAAGCCAGAGGAAACUCUGGUGGAGGCUCGCAGCGGUUCUGACGUGCAAAUCGAUCGUCAAAUCUGCGCAUGGGGGCGAAAGACUAAUCGAACCAUCUAGUAGCUGGUUACCGCCGA
rnacentral:rRNA from 1 species